UUCAAACCUUAUUUCAGGCAAUUUUACAAAAGUAAAUACACUCAAAAACCCGAACCAGAAAUGCUAAAAUGCUAACUCGUUUCCAGUUUUUGGCCUAGGCAACAGAAAUACCUCAUCCCUGCAGCCCUCCAUGUCAUACAGAUGGCAGUAGCGGCAAACUCGCUCUCUUCUGUGUGAGAAAUCAUUCACUGUGUUGUUGCAGAACACGUCCUCUUCUGUACUUGAGUGAAAGUGAGAUGUCCAAGUAGACAGCCACCUAUAAUAAUGAUAUUUCUGCACAAUAAUGCUUUCUUUCAGGUGCUGAGGCAGCAUUAAUUGGUGGGAAGGUGAGCAGGGUAUUAAUGCAGACAGACAGCAUAUUCUGGGCCAGUGACAGUGAGUCAGCACCACAGCAGAGGGGGAGGCAGAGAGAGAGAGAGAAAGAGAGAGGUAAAGUUAUUUCACAUUCUGAUGGCAGGACUGAUUUCGAUGGCAGUGAGUGAGAUAUUCUUUGCUGCAGGAGUUUACCCACACACUCACUCACUCAAUCACUCACGCAGGCGCUCUAAACUGCUGAAUUCUCUGCUUCAUGGAAGACUGCAGAAGCCUGCUGGGAGCUGCUGAGGCUUUCUGACCUGACUGUCCUUGAAUGCUCUUGAGAGAAUGAUGGAGAGAGAGUGGGAGAGAGAAAAAGAGAGCUUCGAAACACUGGCACAAAACUCCUUGCUCUUCAUGCUUUGCAAAAAAAAAUAAAAUAAAAAAAUUAAUCAUCUUCAAAUUCUAUCAAAG